rnacentral:rRNA from 1 species
UUAAGUAAGGAAGGGCGUACGGCGAAUGCCUUGCCACUCGAAACUGAAGAAGGACGCGCCAAACUGCGAAAAGCUCCGUGAAGCUGUAAGGAAGCGAAGAAGCGGAGGUGUCCGAAUGGGGGAACCCGGCAGCAGACAUGAGCUGUCAUCUGCAGGUGAAUACAUGGCCUGCAAGAGAGGUACCCGGCGAACUGAAACAUCUAAGUAGCCGGAGGAAAAGAAAACAACAGUGAUUCCCUGAGUAGCGGCGAGCGAAAGGGGAGAAGCCCAAACCGGUUGAAGGACCGGGGUUGAAGGACCAUGACAUGGCAAGAACGAGGAUAGGAGAACGGGAUCGAAAGCCCGGCCGAAGAAGGUGAAAGCCCUGUAACCGAAAUCCGAGUAAAGCCUAAUGGGAUCCUGAGUACGGCGAGACACGAGGAAUCUUGUCGGAAGCAGGCGGGACCAUCCGCCAAGGCUAAAUAUAAACGAGUGAGCGAUAGUGAACCAGUACCGUGAGGGAAAGGUGAAAAGAACCGCGGGAGCGGAGUGAAAGAGAACCUGAAACCGUAUGCCUACAAGAAGUCAGAGCCCGUUAAGGGGUGAUGGCGUGCCUUUUGUAGAAUGAACCGGCGAGUUGCGACAGACUGCGAGGUUAAGGAGGAAAGACCGGAGCCGAAGCGAAAGCGAGUCUUAAGAGGGCGAAAGUAGGAUGUUGCAGACCCGAAACCGGGUGAUCUAGCCAUGAGCAGGUUGAAGUUGAGGUGAAACUCAAUGGAGGACCGAACCGACUACCGUUGAAAAGUUAGCGGAUGACUUGUGGCUAGGGGAGAAAUUCCAAUCGAACCCGGAGAUAGCUGGUUCUCCCCGAAAUAGCUUUAGGGCUAGCGUCGGAAAGAACCUUAGUGAAGGUAGAGCACUGAAUGUGUGAUGGCCCCAUCCCGGGGUACUGAAUACAAUCAAACUGCGAAUGUCAUUAAGGAUGUCCGGCAGUCAGACUGUGAGUGAUAAGGUCCAUGGUCAAGAGGGAAACAGCCCAGACCGCCAGUUAAGGUCCCAAAAUACAGGCUAAGUGGAAAAGGAUGUGGGGAUGCCCAGACAACUAGGAGGUUGGCUCAGAAGCAGCCAUCCUUUAAAGAGUGCGUAACAGCUCACUAGUCGAGUGACCCUGCGCCGAAAAUGUACCGGGGCUAAGCCUGAUACCGAAACUGCGGAUUGUAGGAAACUAUAGUGGUAGGGGAGCGUUGUAUACGAGCAGAAGCCGUACCGUGAGGAGCGGUGGAUUGUAUAGAAGUGAGAAUGCCGGUGUGAGUAGCGAGAUGUAGGUGAGAAUCCUACACACCGAAAGCCCAAGGAUUCCAGGGGAAGGUUCGUCCGCCCUGGGUAAGUCGGGACCUAACGCGAGGCCGAAAGGCGUAGUGGAUGGAAAGCAGGCGAAAGAUUCCUGCACCCGUAUAUGGAGCGAAGGAGUGACGGAGACGGAUAGUGUGACCCUCUUAAUGGAUUGAGGGCGAAGCGAAGCGGCUGGUUACCAGGCAAAUCCGGUAACCAAAAGGCUAGAGCGUGACAGGUAAGCGAAAUCUUCGGAAAGUAGCGAAGCACAUGAUGACGGCUUCCAGGAAAAGCUUCUGGCAAUGCAUAUGCGGCCCGUACCAAAACCGACACAGGUGGGCAGGGAGAGAAUCCCGAGGUGAGCGAGAGAACUGUUGCCAAGGAACUCGGCAAAAUGACUCCGUAAGUUAGCGAGAAGGAGUGCUUAAGCAAUUAAGCCGCAGUGAAGAGGCCCAAGCGACUGUUUAACUAAAACACAGCUCUCUGCGAAGUCGCAAGACGAAGUAUAGGGGGUGACACCUGCCCGGUGCUGGAAGGUUAAGAGGAUCUGUUAAGAGCGAUCUGAAGCAGUGAUCCGAAGCCCCAGUGAACGGCGGCCGUAACUAUAACGGUCCUAAGGUAGCGAAAUUCCUUGUCAGGUAAGUUCUGACCCGCACGAAAGGUGUAACGAUUUGGGCGCUGUCUCGGCAGCAGACUCGGUGAAAUCUUAGUACCUGUGAAAAUGCAGGUUACCCGCAACUAGACGGAAAGACCCCAUGGAGCUUUACUGCAGCCUGAUAUUGAAUUCUGGUCAUACAUGUACAGGAUAGGUGGGAGACAAAGAGACGUGCACGCCAGUGUACGAGGAGUCGACGUUGGGAUACCACUCUUGUGUGACCGGGGUUCUAACCUGGUAUCGAGAACAGGUACGGGGAGAGUGUCAGGUGGGCAGUUUGACUGGGGCGGUCGCCUCCCAAAGAGUAACGGAGGCGCCCAAAGGUACGCUCAGAUUGGAUGGAAACCAAUCGACGAGUGCAAUUGCAGAAGCGUGCUUGACUGUGAGACAGACAAGUCGAACAGGGACGAAAGUCGGGAAUAGUGAUCCGGCGGUGCCGAAUGGAAGGGCCGUCGCUCAACGGAUAAAAGCUACCCU